rnacentral:lncRNA from 1 species
CUUCUCUUUACCUUACUUUACCCUCACUCUUCAACACUCUACCUUAUCUCUGCUUUUCUCUACCUCACUUUACUCUGUUCUACCAAACUUUACCUUACUGUACCUCACUCUACUUCUCUCUACCUCACUUUACCUCACUCUACCUCAUUCUACUUCUCUUACCUUAUUCUAAUUCUCUCUACCACACUUUACCUCACUCUAGAUCACUGUCUAUCUUCACUAUUCCCUUACUCUACCUCGUUCUACACCUCUCUACCAAACUUCACCUCACUCUACCUCGUUCUACACCUCUCUACCAAACUUCACCUCACUCUACUUCUCUCUACCACACUUUACCUCACUACCUCAUUCUACUUCUCUCUACCAAACUUCACCUCACUCUACUUCUCUCUACCACAUUUACCUCACUCUACCUCGUUCUACUUCUCUCUACCAAACUUUACCUCACUCUACUUCUCUCUACCACACUUUACCUCACUCUACCUCAUUCUACUUCUCUCUACCAAACUUCACCUCACUCUACUUCUCUCUUUCACACUUUACCUCACUCUACCUCGUUCUACACCUUUCUACCAAACCUUACCUCACUCUACUUCUCUCUACCACAUUUUACCUCACUCUACCUCGUUCUACUUCUCUCUACCAAACUUUACCUCACUCUACUUCUCUCUGCCAAACUUCACCUCACUCUACCUCGUUCUACUUCUCUCUACCAAACUUCACCUCACUCUACUUCUCUCUUUCACACUUUACCUCACUCUACCUCAUUCUACACCUUUCUACCAAACUUUACCUCAUUCUACUUCUCUCUACCACAUUUUACAUCACUCUACCUCGUUCUACACCUCUCUACCAAACUUCACCUUACUCUACUUCUCUCUACCACACUUUACCUCACUACCUCAUUCUACUGCUCUCUACCAAACUUCACCUCACUCUACUUCUCUCUACCACACUUUACCUCACUCUACCUCGUUCUACACCUCUCUACCAAACUUUACCUCAUUCUACUUCUCUCUACCAAAAUUUACCUCACUCUACUCCUCUCUACCACAUUUUACCUCACUCUACCUCGUUCUACACCUCUCUACCAAACUUCACCUUACUCUACUUCUCUCUACCACACUUUACCUCACUACCACAUUCUACUGCUCUCUACCAAACUUCACCUCAUUCUACUUCUCUCUACCAAACUUUACCUCACUCUACCUUGUUCUACACCUCUCUACCAAACUUCACCUCACUCUACUUCUCUCUACCACACUUUACCUCACUACCUCAUUCUACUUCUCUCUACCAAACUUCACCUCACUCUACUUCUCUCUACCACAUUUUACUCUCGCUCUUCAACACUCUACCCUCUCUCUACCUCACUCUACUUCUCUCUACCGAACUUUACCUCUCUCUACUUUCCUCUUCAACACUCAACCCCCCUCUUUAUCUCACUCUACCCUCACUCAACCUCACGAUGGCCUUGUUUUACCUCACUCUACCCUACUCUAUCACACUGUAUUUCACUCUACCUUCACUUUACCUUUAACCUUGCUCUACUUGCUUUACCUCACUCUACCUCACUCUGCCUACAGCCUGAUCAUUUCAGAUGAUGCAGUCUAAAGCAACCCGACUAUGCUAUAAGUAAAACUCAUAUUGCAAUGAUAAUACAAAUACCAUUUAUAGUACAGCCCUACCAACCACGAUACCACACCAUCCACCAAACACACAGCCUUCCAACGUCAGCACCACAUCCUACACAUAAA